AGCGAGUAGCUCUGUAAGGGAAUGGUUUUUAUUCGGAGUGAUUCAAAAGUUUGGCAUUUAACGUUUACGGAAAACAGAUCUAUCUUCUACCACUAAACUCAGGAAUUGUUGACUGGAAAUAAUCUAACUAAACCAAUUAAACACUUCAUGGAUCCUUCUCAUCAGCAAUUCAUCCGUCUUCGGGCUAUCAGGAGGGGCUCGCCCCGCGCGUGUUGCUAGGGAGCCCUGGAGUCUAACUGGUAAACACACGCAGACCGGGGGCAGAAGAAAAGCAGGCCGGCCGGGAAGCACACGGCCUCUCCCGGCCUUCUCCCGGGGUGAAAUGAAACAGGAAUGGGAGAUCAUGCUCUUCCCCGUCCUAAUUUAGCAAGCAGGAUUGUCUCACCCAGGCCCGCAGAGCGUGUGCCGCCCCAGGGCGUCCUUACACACAACAGGCUCUGGGUUGUUCAGCAGUCGCCUGCAGGCGAGGCCAAAACAGGCUGCUUCCACCUCCUUCAAAGGGCUGUGUGCUGCUCAGUGGGUUGGCAGUGUUGACUGCACCAGGCGAAGGACCUGGGCCGGGCAGACAGGGAAGUGCCUGGCACGGGCACCACGCUGGAGGGCAGGCUCUGAGGGUGGGGAGAGCAGAGCACAGAGCCCGGGGGGCACAGGCGUCGGGUGCUUCCUCACCGGCUGCCCCGGCCAGCUGUGGUCGCCCAAGCCACUCGAGCCUGGGGUGAGGAUGGGGUGCAGGCCUGGGACCUGGCUGGCUCCGGGGUCCGAGUUCCUAACCACAGCCCUCCACUGCCUCCGAGCCGGCUCCACUCCAGCGCACCACAGCUGUAAAGAAAUCCGGCUUCUUUGUCCUUAGGAGACAGAAGUAAAAUUUUCUCAUCGCACAUUGGACUGUUUAGCUCUGCAACUAGUGCUGGAGGGGUCCUCAUGGCCCACCUUUACCAUCUGGGUGUUCUUGGGUGAGUGCGUCGCUUCCGACCCUCAGGGAGGCCAGCGGGUACCGUGCAUCUUCCACGAGGCCCGUUCUCCAGGGCCAGCGAGGGUCGAAGUCUGGUGAGGGGAUUUGGGCUCUCAGGCCCGAAGGGCCCACAGCGUCACCUGCCUGGAGCGUGCACACUGCAGCCCAGAGGAGCUGGGUUCCUGAGAAGUGAGUCUCCCCAGCUCGAAGACCGGGUGGUGGCUCUCUCCCUCCUUCGUGCAGAGCUGAGCUGUUCGGGGAAAAUGGCAGAGUCGCCCGGAGAUUGGCCUGGAGUCCGAGGGAGACGCCCACCAGUGGCUCGGGUGGUGUGCGGGUCGGAGGCGGCCUCCCUGCCAGUCCCGGCACCCGCACGCUGCUCCUCUCAGCAGAGCCCAGGCUCAGGGCUGGACGGGGCCGGGGCUGCUGCUGUUCACACUGUCUGUUACUUCGCCUCUACUUACGGGAACGACUCCCACUUUCGACUUACAGGACCGAUAGGAAGCUCCCCAGGAUCUGUUCAAAUGUGGGCCUAUGGUCAGCCAGGCAAAUGGAAGCGCAAUGGUCGAAGCCAUGACAGGAGCCCUGGCCAGAGCGGACUCGGGACACUCUCAGCCAUCCAGGCGACACAGGCGCCUCUGGGCCAAGCCGCUCGGGCCUGGGGUGCUCGGAGACGUGGAGGCUGAGUCGGGCAGAGCAGCCUCGCCCGCCGCUCUCAGGCAAGGUUUGCCGGGGUGUCUGCCUCUGUCCCCUUCAAGCCCCACUUCUGGCCAGGACCAAAGGUGCCUGAAUCCCGUCCUGUCCCCAUGGACUCAGAUCGUCCCUGGUGAUGCCAGGGAGCUGGUGACUGCGGCCUGGGGAACAGGAGUGGGCCACGGAGGGGCUGGGCUCCCGGCCCGCGUCCCGAGCACCAGCGACCUCACGCUGCACCCAGCCUCAGCGUCCCUGGCAUCGCUGGACGCAGCCCCCUGGGCACUGCCCUCCCUUCGUCCUCUGCUCCCAGGCAGGCGGCUGAGGAAGGCGGGCGGCAGGGCUUUCCUGACUCGGAGAUCUAUCCAUGCAGAGGCUUGUAAAGGUCACGCCUGUCCUCUUAAAGAACCUCCAGGAUUUACAUCCUGCCCAGCCCUCGGCCUCCUGGAUGGGCCCGGAUCGAUGCAGCACCCACCUGGCACCUGCUGGGGGCAUGAGUUUCAACGUGGAGGAGCAUUGCGCCCCUGGGAGGAGGCAGCUGCCUGGCUUUCCAGGUCAGGGAUGGCAGAGGGCGGAGAGGGGGCCCAGGUCAGAGGACCUCCCCGCGUGACCCCGGGCAAGCUGCUUGUCUUUCUAAGCCUUGUUUUCUUCUUCUUUUUCUCAUCUUUACAAUGGAGUAAGAAAGGCCAAAUGGAAGCAGGAUAUCAGAGCGAGAUGUGGAGGCGAUGCGUGAAGUCUCACACAGGGUGUGAUGGUGCCAGUUCCUGCAGUUAUGAGCACAGAAGACCGAGUACAGACCACCAGCAGCCCGCAAGUUUGGGCCGUGGGACCCCUACUGCAUCCGAGUGAAGUCCACAGCCUCGGGGGCACCAGGGCGGGCUUGGCGCACGGGACGCCCCACAGCCGCCAGCUCAGAGUGUGUGCCCGGGCUGCUCCGGCCCCGUGGCUUCCCUUGAGUCAGAC
ensembl:lncRNA